GACGAACCGAGCGAACGUUGUUCGGAAUCACUGGGCUUAAAGGGCGCGUAGGCGGGCCAUCAAGUCAGGGGUGAAAGCCCCCGGCUCAACCGGGGAAGUGCCUCUGAUACUGGUGGUCUCGAGGGAGAUAGGGGCGUGCGGAACUUCCGGUGGAGCGGUGAAAUGCGUAGAUAUCUGGAGGAACACCGGUGGCGAAGGCGGCAUCCUGGACCGGCAUUGACGCUGAGGCGCGAAAGCUAGGGGAGCAAACGGG
rnacentral:rRNA from 1 species